rnacentral:lncRNA from 1 species
GGAGGUUGCAGUGAGCCGAGAUCGCACCACUGCACUCCAGACUGGGUGACAGAGCAAGACUCCGUCUCAAAAACAAAAUAAAACACAAAAUAACCGCCCUGCCCAUAAACUGGGGACCAUGUACAUAGAGGGUGUAAAAUCAGUCGAGUGGGACACAAUCAAUACUCUUUCAAAUAAAGUAGAAGAUAUCAGAGUUGAUCACAGGAAGUGAGGAUAACUUGCUGUGUGAAAGCCGUGCUUUCAUUAUCCAUAGAUACACAGAGUGCACACCUCUCGGGGAUGCUCGUGCUCUGACUGGCAUGUAACAUGCACUGCUUAUAGAUGUCAGAUUAAAACAUAUAUUUUAAGAUUCAAAAAUACAGGUCAGUAUCCCUAGCAAUAUUCUAACUUCUCCAUUGCUUGGUGUUAUGAUGUCUGGCUCAGCCAUCAUCAGGCCCUGGGACCUGAGCAGUGUGGCUGCAGGGCCGGCAGAGUGACCUGCGGACCAUGGGCCCUGCUGGCGCUGCCCCUUCAGGAGCCACCCCCACCUCACCUGGCCCAUCCUCUCAGAUGCCAUGGACUCUCCAAGCAGAGACCCCUGAGGGCACAGAGUGGAUUCUGCUUUUCGGAAGGGACCACCCACCGGAGAGGCGACCCAUCCUUAUGCAGACACCAACACCAUGAUGUACCAGGAAACUGAAACUGAAACUCAAGGCCCUAGUCCGGGACCCUCCUCUCUACUGAGCCAGGGCCUUGAGUGCUUCCAGUGCUACGGUGUCCUGGACCCCAGCCUGUGCCACCCCGUCUCCUAUCCCAUGCAGGCUCAAAGCUGCCCCUCCUCUGUGGUCACUGGCACUAUCGAUGGGCAGAAGUUCAGCUACACUAGCAAGGGCUGUGGCCCCACUCUGUGCCCAGAUUACUGUGGUCCCUGGAGGGUCUUACCCCACAGAAAUUGAGGAUAGACUGAUUGACUUGAAGACUGAGAAGCUGGACAUGACCUGCUGUGAAAAUAGCCUCCGUAACAAGGCGGCCACAGUGCGGCGUGGCCUCUGGUGCCAGACUGUCGGGGAGCUCCUGCUCAGCCUGGGCCCCUUCCUCUGGGCUCUGCUGUGAGCCCAGCCCGCCCUGGCACUGCCCCUGGUGGGUAAACAGGGGCUCAGGGUGGUUGCCCAGUGCAGCCCUCAGCUCCUGCCCCGAUGCCCCCGCCUGGCCGCCCAGCAGCCCAGAGACCCCCUCACCCAGCAUCCUAGCUGCCUGCUGGCUCAGAUAGUAAAUGCAUGUGUUCGCC